UCUUCGGAGAAGAGGGUGGUCCCAAAUACCGGGACGAACCCCCAAAUGUAAUGCCUUCCCCCGAAAGGGAAGAUCCUCACUUAAGUCUCGGGAUGACGCGACCCCCCAAGAACUCACGAGAGACU
rnacentral:pre_miRNA from 11 species